CCUACGGGAGGCAGCAGUGAGGAAUAUUGGUCAAUGGACGAGAGUCUGAACCAGCCAAGUAGCGUGAAGGAUGACUGCCCUAUGGGUUGUAAACUUCUUUUAUAUGGGAAUAAAAUGUUCCACGUGUGGGAUUUUGUAUGUACCAUAUGAAUAAGGAUCGGCUAACUCCGUGCCAGCAGCCGCGGUAAUACGGAGGAUCCGAGCGUUAUCCGGAUUUAUUGGGUUUAAAGGGAGCGUAGGUGGAUUGUUAAGUCAGUUGCGAAAGUUUGCGGCUCAACCGUAAAAUUGCAGUUGAAACUGGCAGUCUUGAGUACAGUAGAGGUGGGCGGAAUUCGUGGUGUAGCGGUGAAAUGCUUAGAUAUCACGAAGAACUCCGAUUGCGAAGGCAGCUCACUGGACUGCAACUGACACUGAGGCUCGAAAGUGUGGGUAUCAAACAGGAUUAGAUACCCUAGUAGUC
rnacentral:rRNA from 1 species